GAAUUUUAUAUAAAUUACUAUAAAUAAAUUAGUAAGUUAUAUUUUAUUGGGAGGAUAAUUAAAUUUGAAUAACUUUAAUAUAAAAAAACUUUGAUUAAUGAAAAGAAAAGGAUGAUUGAUUAAUAAAAAUUAUUAAAGAUUAAAUUACCUUAGGGAUAACAGCAUUAUAUUUUUUUUUAGAUCAUAUAUAAAAAAAUGUUUAU
rnacentral:rRNA from 1 species